rnacentral:rRNA from 1 species
AUGCCGGAGAACGGAGUUGAGCUUGCAGCAGUACCACCCUUCGCCGAUACCUUGACUGGGCUAACCGAUGCCAACGGCGGCAAUGACCUUGACAUCGAUGGCCGCAUUCACGAGCUCUCCGAAAUCAUCAUGCAUGAAAUGUGUGCUAGCCGGGUGCCCCGACCAGGGAAACCAGAGAUCUAUCGCGUUCCCGAGACGUUCCUCGCCGCCGACGAGGGCGCCUACCAGCCGAGGUUCCUGUCCCUGGGGCCAUAUCACCGCGGCGACUCCGCCACGGAGGAGAUGCGGCGCACCGACGAGCGCAAGCUAGAGAACCUGGCCUACGCCCUCCAAGACGGCGGGCCGUCGGUGGAAGAGUACAUGGAGGCCAUAGCGUCCGUUGAGGCCGACGCCAGGAGCCGCUACGACGGAGACGUCGCCAUGGAGUGGGGCGCGUUCUGCAGGAUGCUACUGCUCGAUGGGUUCCAGCUGAUUACAGUGCUCAAGUUUCUCGGCUAUGAGCCGCCGCCGCUUCCACCUCCAGCUCCAGGGUGCAGCAGCAACAACAAUGGACAAGGGAACUGCAGGCCGAGGACCAGCGUUGUCAUCAGUAUCGAACAUGACUUGAUGAUGCUGGAGAACCAGAUACCAUUCUUCGUCGUCCAGAGGAUCCACCGCUUGCGAUACGGCAUUGGUGGAAAUGGAAUGGACACGGUUGAAGAGCUAGCCUGGAGGACCAUCAAAAGAAUUAUGAAUGACGCCCCGGCAGCGACCAGCUUUCCACCGGCGAAGUGCCACCAUUUGGUACAUCUGUGCCAUGAAUACCUGAGGCCAAGCAACCUCGACAAGUCACUGUGA